GGGGAAUAUUGGACAAUGGGCGCAAGCCUGAUCCAGCCAUGCCGCGUGAGUGAUGAAGGCCUUAGGGUUGUAAAGCUCUUUCGCCAGGGACGAUAAUGACGGUACCUGGAUAAGAAGCCCCGGCUAACUUCGUGCCAGCAGCCGCGGUAACACGAAGGGAGCUAGCGUUGUUCGGAAUCACUGGGCGUAAAGCGCACGUAGGCGGACUUUCAAGUCAGGGGUGAAAUCCCGGGGCUCAACCUCGGAACUGCCUUUGAUACUGUUGGUCUCGAGGCCGGAAGAGGUGAGUGGAAUUCCUAGUGUAGAGGUGAAAUUCGUAGAUAUUAGGAAGAACACCGGUGGCGAGGGCGGCUCACUGGUCCGGUACUGACGCUGAGGUGCGAAAGCGUGGGGAGCAAACA
rnacentral:rRNA from 1 species